UAUUGAAUUUAACUUGUUAAUUGAUAUAUGUGAGAGUCAAAUUUGGAUCGAAUCAAAUUAUUAUCGAGUUUAUUUAAAGAAAUAGGAAAUAUUCAAACCUUACCAGCAACUUUGUUGUUUAUUGUGUCUUUGAUAAGAGUCAACAAUUUAUUAAUUGAGAAAUUUAAUAGUAUUUUGUGGGUUGGUUUGGAUUGGCUUGGAUUGAGAUUUGGGUAUUGGCUGGCUUGGAUUGGCUUGAACUCAUGUUUAAAGUUGGGUUUCAUAAUCCCACUUAUUAUGGGUUAUCGAUUUAGGAUGCGUUUGUUGCACCAGACUAUCUCGAACUGGACUAGCUUCAGGGACUAAGCUGGAUUGGCUUGGACUAGACUAAGCAUGACUAACUUAGUGAAGCGUUUGAUGCAGUGUCGAACUAAGAAGUAGGAUAAUAAAAAUAAUAAAAAUAAUUCUUUUUUUUAUUUUUCUAUUUCUUUUUCCUGUUCUAGAACACCCCUGAAACCACUCUUCCCUCUCAUUUUUUCCGUCCAAACUCCAUACAUUACAAUCACAACUUUUCCUUCAUUCCAAUUGAUAAAGUUCUCUGUCCAAAUUCCACUACUUGCAACCAUAUCUUUCUCCUCCAUUAUAAAGCUCCCAAAACACAAACAAUCAAAAAUUCAAAUUCAAUUUCAAUCGACUGCAGCCAUAGUAGGAUCUUCCUCGGAGGUUUUUUGCAAAAGACAGGUCUUUUAUUAUGGUUGUGGUUAAUGAUCGAGUUGCAGUUGCUGUGGCUGAUGAUUGAGUUGCAACUACUGUGGCUGCUGUGCAUGUAGUCUGAGAUAGCAAAAAACCCGUUUUUGCCGUGUUCGGGUCAACCCAGAUGGCGGAAGGCCCCAAAUCGACGCUGGGUUUGCGGGAUGGUGGAGAUCGACGAGAGUUGUCUCUGCUAUGGUCACUAGAGAAGGGGGUUGCAGCUGCUGCUCAUGUACGAAGGAGAAGGACUGGGUUCGCUGCUUGUAGACGAUGGAGAGGGGACUAGAAAUCCCGUUGUUUUGGGGGGGGUCUCGCUAAGACCUCCUGGUGAGGGACUUAGUCAAGGUAAGUCCUCCUUUGCCCCAUUAAACUUAAUCCUGCCUAGAACAAACAUAGGCCUACACUAAUGUCUAAUCCAGUCCAGUCCAGUGAAACUUAAGGAGGCCAAACAAACGCCCCCUUAAUGUCUUUUCGAUCCAUGAUACACUUAAUCUCACCAAACAAAGGACAACAUUCAUGUCUAUUUUUAUUCUAACUUAUCCUAUCUAAUCGAACCUGCCAAAGAAAGCCUACAUAUACCCAGUUAAGGGCGAAUCCCCACUAUCAUUCGGAGAAUAAAUUCAUAAUAUACCAUAAUCUAAAGAAGUGUCAAUUACAUUUUACAACCUCAAAAAUCUUGGUAGAAUUGUAACCUCAUUCAAUAUAUUUAAACAUUUUAAUCUCAUACAUUACAUAUUAUUGUAUUUCAAUAUCACACAAUUGUUACUUAAUUCAUUAAAUUUGAAGAUGAUGUAUGAGGUUGCAAUUGCACUUAAACAUAAUUUAUCCACUUGCCAUAGUAUUGGCAUCUCAAUAAACAACUAAACCCCUAAAAAUGAGGACCUUGAUCAAGUAACAUGGGUCUGACUUCGGUGUUACGUAGCAUUGAAUGUUACGACUAUUCAUAAGCUCAACUUAUUAUCCUAGGUCAGAACAAGUUAAUAGGAUCCCCUUUUUAAUGUUCUAGUAUUAUAAUACUCUUUAAAGAUCAUCUCCGUAAAUAAAUUAAAACUAAAGUUGUUUAGUUAAUCAAUUUUGUCCAUAUAUUUUUGUAUAGUACCAUGACUAAACAACCUUAGUUUUAAUUGUUUUUUGUUUGUACCAUACUUAGGGCCUCCAUAUUUAGAUCUCGUAUAAAUACUCGGGGAACUCAAAUGUAAUUAUGUAAUAAAUGAAGGGGUAAAUAUAUAAUAAGUGAGGAGCCCUUAUUCUAUAAAAGGACUCCUCAUUCUCCUCAUUAAGGAGGCCAAGUUUUAGGCCAUGGGAAGAGAGCACACAGAAAAUAGGCUAGAAAGCACACUGCCUCUAGCAUUCUUGUAUAUUCACCAUUCAGAGUGAAACAAUAUCAACAUCAGUGUGGACGUAGCCCAAACAUUGGGGUGAACCACGAUACAUCUUGUGUUCUUUACUUUCUUGCAAAUUCACGGUCGGAUUUACGUUGUUCCAAGACCCAUCCGGUUUUGUGCAUCAAUAUUUGGCGCCGUCUGUGGGAAACGAUACUAAAAGUUGUGUUGGUUCUCUUUCAUUUUUUCACCUCUAUCGUGAAUAUGCAAAAUCACAAAAAAAAGCCAUCAACCAGUCCCAUCUCUCUUUCCUCUCACUGACCCACGUUGAAGUCACCUCUUUGCUUUCCUUCUCGUCCGUUCUCUCUGCUCUCUCUGCAACAAUGAGAACACCACCUCAGGCAAACCAAAAAACCCAUCUCCAAAAAUACCCAAAUUCUCUGAAAGUUUCAAACUUUAUGCUUCUUGGGAGCUUUUGAGAUUGUUUCAGAAAUACUAAAUCGUUGUUCUUUUUAAAAGCUUUGACCCACCUGCAAAUCUCUGAUCCUUCGCAGUUCUGACGCCGGAAUUCGAUCUACAUGUA
rnacentral:lncRNA from 1 species